GGCGAAAUCGCAGACGAAGAAGAGAAAAGCGACGACGACACCCUCGCCGUCGCCUUGGUAUUCAAGAAACCUUCUCUAAUUCUUCUUCUGCAGAUAAUAUGACUGGCGACGGGAAAAGCAGCGCGGUAUUUGGCGAUCCACAGACUCAAUACCAUUACGGUACGUUUCAAGGUGUCGCAAACUAUUAUUCUUCUGCCCCACAACCGCAGCCCCAAUCUGUCGUCGGUUUCCCUCAGCCGGUU
rnacentral:misc_RNA from 1 species